rnacentral:lncRNA from 1 species
CUGUGCUAUCUGCUUAAGAUGGGAGUGGCCUGGGUCUCCAAAAGCAUUGGAAAAGUGCAAUUUAGAAGCCGCUUUCUUUGAAGGUCAUUUUUUGAAAGUGCUGUUCGACAGAAUGGGAAGAAUUCUUGAUCAGCCAUAUGAUGUAAACUUACAAGUAACCUCAGUGUUAUCUAGACUUUCUCUCUUCCCUCAUCCACACAUCCACGAGUACCUUUUGGAUCCUUACGUGAACCUCGCUCCUGGCUGUAGAUCUCUCUUCUCUGUAAUUGUCAGGGUUGUUGGAGACCUUAUGCUUCGAAUCCAGCGUAUUCAAGACUUUACUCCCAAGCUUCUGUUAGUCAGAAAGCGGUUACUUGGUUUGGAACCUGAAGGCCCUAUGCAAGCGUUGCCUUCAUGGUGGUAAGAGGGAUUCCAGAGUCUCUUAUGUCCUCAAAGCUUCAAGCUCAGCCAAAAGAAUCUCGAUGGUUUCCACAAAAAAUCUUGGGCCUUGGAUCAACUGCCCACCCUUGAACCAAUCCUGGUGGCCCCAGGCUGAUUGGCAGACCUGAAUCACCUAUCCCAUUCCCAGAACUUUGGCUUGACCAGGCUCAUCCAAAACAAGGGAAUCCAGAGUGUUUCCCCAAAGAAAAUCAGGGGGCUAUUACUGGGAAAAAGAAUUCCACCACAAGUAUAAAAAAUACUGUUAUCA